ensembl:lncRNA
AUGGUCAAAAUAGUCCUGAAGUCAAAACCUGGUGGAGAUAAAAUAAAGUCUGAAUAUGAUAAAACCAAAACUUUGUCAGACAGCAUCCGCACACAGUUCCAUGCUUGUUCCGGACAUGACUGAAGUUGGAAGAACUCCUCUACAAACUGUGUGGACAAAGUAUGCACUAGGUAUCGUCACUUUGCUUCCUAACCUGGAGGACCCAUACUUUAAAAACGGAUAUGUAAGUUCUUUUUUUCAGAUUAUACAGUGCUAAAAAAUAAAUCACUUAAAAAAAUAAAUGAUUUGCCUUAAUUUUUUUAAAACUUGUUUGCUGGGCUCUUUGGGUUUUUUUAUUUUUAUUUUUUAUGAGCACUUCUACGAUGUGUCUAGUGGCACUGGGUACCUAGCCUGGCGCUUAAAAACUGUAAAGAGAAGUACUGCAGUUGGUGAAAAUAACAGACCAGAGUCAACUGAAACCAACAAUGGUCCACUCUCAGAGUACCAUUUUCAAACACCGAACAGCUGACCAGAGAUGAGUACAGAGAGACAAUAUCAGCUAUGAAACACACUUCAGAUGAGACCGUUGUUAGGGAAAAAAUGAAGAUAACAUUUCAAUACAGACAGGCUAUGGUCCAUAGUCCAGAGAAGUCUCUAGAUGUAUUGGACAUGUUCCUUAAAUUCCUGGACACACCUGGCCUUAUUGUACAAGAUUUUUUGCUACUGUUUGGAGAAGAGUGGCCAACCUACUUCAAAAAGAGAGUGAUCAAUGACAGCAAAGGAUUGUCCUCCAGUCACCACAUUGAAGAACUCAUCAAAGAUGCUCAGCAUGAACCUGGUGAUGGUAUGAUUUAA